rnacentral:rRNA from 1 species
CGUAGGGUGCGAGCGUUAAUCGGAAUUACUGGGCGUAAAGCGUGCGCAGGCGGUUUUGUAAGUCAGAUGUGAAAUCCCCGGGCUUAACCUGGGAACUGCGUUUGAAACUACAAGGCUAGAGUGUGGCAGAGGGGGGUGGAAUUCCACGUGUAGCAGUGAAAUGCGUAGAGAUGUGGAGGAACACCGAUGGCGAAGGCAGCCCCCUGGGUUAACACUGACGCUCAGGCACGAAAGCGUGGGGAGCAAACAGGAUUAGAUACCCUGGUAGUCCACGCCCUAAACGAUGUCAACUAGUUGUCGGGUCUUAACGGACUUGGUAACGCAGCUAACGCGUGAAGUUGACCGCCUGGGGAGUACGGUCGCAGGAUUA